rnacentral:rRNA from 1 species
CAGCACGCCGCGCGAGUGAAGAAGGCCCUUGCAUCGGAAGGCUCUGUCAGCUGGGAAGAAGCUGCAUAGCAUUCACAGUGAUAUGUAUUGACGGUACCAGUGGAGGAAGCGCCGGCCAACUCCGUGCCAGCAGCCGCGGUAACACGGGGGGCGCAAGCGUUAUUCGAGAAUUAUUGGGCGUAAAGGGCGCGUAGGCGGUCUUGUCAGUCAGAUGUGAAAGCCCGGGGCUCAACCCUGGAAGUGCAUUUGAAACAGCAAGACUUGAGUACGGGAGAGGAAAGCGGAAUUCCUGGUGUAGAGGUGAAGUUCGUAGAUAUCAGGAGGAACACCGAUGGCGAAGGCAGCUUUCUGGACCGAUACUGACGCUGAGGCGCGAAGGCGUGGGUAGCGAACAGGAUUAGAUACCCUGGUAGUCCACGCAGUAAACGAUGUUCACUAGGUGUAGCGGGUAUUAAAACUUGCUGUGCCGCAGCUAACGCAUUAAGUGAACCGCCUGGGAAGUACGGUCGCAAGACUAAAACUCAAAGGAAUUGACGGGGGCCCGCACAAGCGGUGGAGCAUGUGGUUUAAUUCGACGCAACGCGAAGAACCUUACCUGGGUUUGACAUCCUGUGAAUCUUCCAGAGAUGGAAGAGUGCCUUCGGGAGCACAAAGACAGGUGCUGCAUGGCUGUCCUCAGCUCGUGUCGUGAGAUGUUUGGUUUAAUCCAGCAACCAACGCCACCCCUUAUCGUUUGUUGCCCACCCGUAAUGGUGGGAACUCUUACGAGACUGCCCCCGUUAAAGGGGAAGAAAGGUGGGGAUUAACNUCAAGUCC